AAUGAACGCUGGCGGCGUGCUUAACACAUGCAAGUCGAACGAUGAAAGCGGGAGCUUGCUCCUGCUGGAUUAGUGGCGAACGGGUGAGUAACACGUGAGCAAUCUGCCCCGAACUCUGGGAUAAGCGUUGGAAACGACGUCUAAUACCGGAUACGACGCGCGAAGGCAUCUUCUGCGCGUGGAAAGAAUUUCGGUUCGGGAUGAGCUCGCGGCCUAUCAGCUAGUUGGUGAGGUAACGGCUCACCAAGGCGACGACGGGUAGCCGGCCUGAGAGGGUGACCGGCCACACUGGGACUGAGACACGGCCCAGACUCCUACGGGAGGCAGCAGUGGGGAAUAUUGCACAAUGGGCGAAAGCCUGAUGCAGCAACGCCGCGUGAGGGACGACGGCCUUCGGGUUGUAAACCUCUUUUAGCAGGGAAGAAGCGAGAGUGACGGUACCUGCAGAAAAAGCACCGGCUAACUACGUGCCAGCCGCCGCGGUAAUAC
rnacentral:rRNA from 1 species